GAUUACAAGGUAGAAAAAACUUAAAAAACGGCUAAGCCUUCUUUUAGACUCUGAAUACUGAAAAUUGUUUGAAAUUUAAUUGGUUUUGUUCUUUGAGUUCAGUGAUAGUCAGAAUUUUUAAAAAGCUUCAAAGAGCUAGGCUAAUCUAGGUUUAAUUUGGUUUGAAAGAAGCUGGUUUUGCUGAGUUGUUGAGCUGAUUCUGCUGCUGUUGCUAAUUCUUCAUUCUCCUUGUUUUUUUUGACUUCCAGGAAUCUUUUGGAGCAUAGAUAACAUAUGAGAUGUAAACACACAAAUUGAACGUGGAUAUAUUAUGAACAUCCAUGUCUUUUUGUUGAAUUUUACUCCUUAUUCUUCAAUCUCAUUCAUAGGUUGUAAUAUUUUAGUAUUAGGUGCAUUUUGUUAGUCUUUUUCAUGUUAUGGAUGUGAUGCCUUAUUGUUGAGCUGAAGUUUACAUUCUCUGGGUCUCUUGUUAGUUGUUUGGUUGGUUUAAACUUGCUAUGGGUAGGGAAAAUGCCUCAGGUUAUUUGCAAUAAGCGCUAAGCUCGAUGUUGAAUUACUAUUGGUCUGUGUUUGAGUAUGCUUAAAGUUAACUUGAUGUUUAGAUUCAGGUUUGUCAUAUGACAAUUUCAUGGGGUUUUCGUUGCUAUUGUAUGUAUCAAAAGGGUCUAAAUUAGGUUUAAACUUCAUAUAAUUUUCUAUAAGCUGGCUUGGAGAUCAAUUAAAUAUGAAUACUGUACAACUUCGUUUCUUAUGUAACUAGUGCAGUUGGAUUCAGAAUAAUGUUUAUUUUAGG
rnacentral:lncRNA from 1 species